AAAAAAAAAAAAAAAAAAACUCUAACUUAGUUGGAGGUGUAUGGUAGGAGUUUGGUCCCAAUGAGUCAUACCUCAAACAACAAGUGAGGCAUGCCUAGUACAACCGACGUUUACUAGUUCUACGAUGUAGUGGGACCCAUCCAGCAGUCACAUCGUCUUUGUCGUAGUGGGGCUUACCCAACACUCACGAGUUGCAUAAAGUAUACUCAACGUCAACAACAAAAUGUAACCUGUGUGCACACGAUAUCCUCUCAGGCUCAAGAUCUCAAUCAUGUAGUCAAUGGAAAUAUCAUAAAGCAUAUGAAAACAUUAAAACAUAACUCAUUAAUUACGUGCUAGCAUGUGGAUUCCAUUACGAAAUCUAAGCUCGAAACUCAUACUCGAAAGGGCACGCCCAGUACAACUAACGUUUACUAACGGUACGAUGUAGUGGAGCUCGCCCGAGACUUCCAUCAUCUUUUUCGUAGUGGGGCCUGCCUAGCACUCACGACAGCAUCAUUGUUACGGAGUACACUCAACGUUAACAAUAGAAUCUAAUUGUGUGCACACGGUACUACAUAGCCUCGGGCUCAACAUCUCAAUCAUGUAGUUAAUAGAAACAUAAAAAAAUCAUACGAAAACAUUAAAACAUACCUUAUAUCUUUA